rnacentral:lncRNA from 1 species
CUUGUCAAUCUCAUUAGAGAUACAGUGUGUUUGGAGAAGUAAACUGAACUUCCAGGGACCAAAUUGUAAUAUAUUGAUAUAGCACACAAGAUUUUGCUGAUUUCGUACUUUUCUGUCAAAGCUUCACGAAGUCUGUGAAAAAAAUGGCAACCUUACAUCCCUGUCCCUGGAGCAAAAGGAUGCCAUUAAUACGCUGGCCAUUGAAAUGGAUUAUCCAAUAUUGAAAGAGGCCAACCGCUCUUGGCUGCUGCACAAUAUACUCCAGGAUGUGGUUUUUGGACGGAUAAAAAAGCAGCUCAAGCAGCUCAAAGAAGGUCUGAAAGAGACCAAUGUUCUUAACUGGAUGGAAGCAAGACCUGAUGCUGUCAAAGAAGUGUUCCCAUCGCAGGCAGAGGCUACAUGUAGUCCAGAGGUUGUUCUAGAAUUAAUUCAGUGGCCCCAAGAAGUUGAGGGCCAGGAACAAAAUAGAAUAAAGGAGUUCCUCUUACAGUUCAUCCGCACAGGUAUGAUUACAGCAUGUUGAUGUUCCAACCACGUUAUGAAGUUAAUGAACUGCCACAACAUGAGGAAAAUCUGUAGAGUACUGUUAGCUUUGUGUUAUUAGACUACUGUCUCUUGCCACACUGUCCAGUGUCCUGCAACACUGCCUCAUGCUACUUGUCAGCUGUCUCUAGACACUGCCCUGUGCCGCUCACUGUGGCUCUGCCACAGUGAGCGGCACCAUUUGUGCCAUUUGCACACUGCCCCUGCUACACAUUAGAACUUAGAUCGGGCCCAAAAAAUCAAGCCUGACCCUAGCCCGUUGCACGUUGUGUCCGAGACCGGCCCGGCCCGACACAUUAACUGUAAUUAUGAGCAUAAGCCUGAUUUAAACACAACAAUUUUAUUAAUACGUGGGUUGUUAUAACUGACAAUCUUAACUAAAAUUCAGUUGUUUGAAAAACAGAAAUGUGUUUAGAAUUAUCUUAAUGAACGAAGAAUGUUGUCACUGCCCACGACUUGGUUAAAAAUGGUUCCAUACCUUCGACUUUCCUCCAAACUUGUUUGAAGUUAAUUCUCCUGUUUUUAUUUCUUUCUUUACAUCUUCAAGCUCCAUGUUGCACUUAAGCUACUAGCACACACUAUACAGCACAGCAUGCCGGCCUAGUGUGAUCAUGCGUGCGAGUGUUGGAGACGUUGUGUGCUGCAAGUGCUGCGGUUUUUUUAACUGUAGCGAACUUGUGCAAUUCUGACUAAAAUAUUAUGCAACGAGUAAUAAAUAAUAAAUAAUGCAACGCGUUAUUAAGGAAUUUGUGUUUUAUUCGUGUUUUUAACAUGCAGUCUCCCAGGACAAGCUUAAAGAGCUACUUAAGUUCUGGGUCGGGUGGGAGAUCCCGAUGUGUGACAUGAAGGUGGAGGUGGUGGAUAACCCUUACCCAGGGGCAUCCACGUGCUUCCGCACACUCCGCCUACCGUCUCACUAUGAGACCUAUGACGAAUUUAGUCAAAGCUUGGAAAUGUGCGUUGGCACCGUUGAGUACGGGUUCGGGUUACUAUGAUGAGUCUGAGUGUAUUAGCAGUGACUGCUCAAGUGCUGUUGCACACAAAAAGUCACAUUUGUUAAAUUCAUUGCAAGUUUUCAUUGUUUAAUUGUUUUCAUUGUUUGUUCAUUGUACUCAUUCCUGCACAGUAAAAGUGUGAAACUGCAGUGUAACCGUGUGGUGAUUUAAGGGAAGCACGCAUGUAGAC